CAGCCGCCGCGGUAAUACGUAGGGUGCGAGCGUUAAUCGGAAUUACUGGGCGUAAAGCGUGCGCAGGCGGUUUCGUAAGACCGAUGUGAAAUCCCCGGGCUCAACCUGGGAACUGCAUUGGUGACUGCAAAACUGGAGUGCGGCAGAGGGAGAUGGAAUUCCGCGUGUAGCAGUGAAAUGCGUAGAUAUGCGGAGGAACACCGAUGGCGAAGGCAGUCUCCUGGGCCUGCACUGACGCUCAUGCACGAAAGCGUGGGGAGCAAACAGGAUUAGAUACCCCCGUAGUCCCUGUCUCUUAUAC
rnacentral:rRNA from 1 species